GAUCCCCCUCCUCUCCCAGCUGUGCAAGAACGAACCGAGGAACAGCACAGCCGCCUCCCACCCACGGGCGCUGAGGGAGCGGGGAUCCCCCUGCUGACAAAGCGCCAUUCUCAGCACCUGCAUCCCGGCCUUACAGUCAUCCUGAAAGUUUGGGGCGGCUGCUGGAGCGUCCCUUUCCAGUGCAUCACUGCGCUGGCAUCGCUCCACCGCCUUCCCCAGGCCGGAACAGGCUGCUUUGGGGCAGAAGGGUGCAAUAGAACUCAAUUUUUUUGCCAGCCUGGGAAAGUCCCUAAGACGCUAGCGGGCUUUCCCUACGGCGGUGCCCACACAGAGACACGAGGCUGUGUCUGUCCCUCCCUCCCGAGGCGCUGGGAGCCAGGAUAGCAGCGAGCCAGGUGGGAAACGCUGGGUUUUGUUAUCAGCUCCAAAAUGUGGUCACCACAGAGGGCAUGGUUAGAAUGGGUUGGAGUGCUGCUGGUUCUCCUUCGGGUGCUGCUGCUUUUCCAGGGGAAACAGCUGUCUGCAGAUGUGUACGAGAGAGGAGGCACAGCCUGAGCAGGGCGAGCUGCCUGGGCAGGAGGGCUGCCCCUUUGGAUGGGGAUUGGGAUGGAAAACUCCUCCAGCAUCGUUGCCAUCGCCCCGGGCCACCCUGAACGAGUCCCCCGAGCAGCCGCUGGCAGCUGGAACCCGCAAUUAGCAGCAGAACAACAGCCCCAGCUGCCUCCCGGGGCUCCCCAGCAGUUCAAUUAGCCCUCACUUGCAUAAAGCAGGGAGGAUAAUGCCGCUCUCACCCUGCCUUCAGCCUUAUUUCCAUUUCUUACCAGCAGAGCACCACUGCAGGAUCACGGCAAAAGGAGGGAUGCCGGAGCUCCAUCCGCUGGUUCUGGGGUGAUUUUCCACCGCGGCUGCUGGGAAACACAGCCCCGUGGGGGCUUUUUGUGCCCAGGCAGCGUGUGAGUGAAGAUGCAGCUUUUCUCAGCAGCAGGAGUGGCUGCUCUGAGUCCUUAUGCUGAAGGACCAAGAAAAGUCACCCCUCAAGGAAAAAGAAGAAAAAGAAGAAAAAGAAGAAAAAGAAGAAAAAGAAGAAAAAGAAGAAAAAGAAGAAAAAGAAGAAAAAGAAGAAAAAGAAGAAAAAGAAGAAAAAGAAGAAAAAGAAGAAAAAGAAGAAAAAGAAGAAAAAGAAGAAAAAGAAGAAAAAGAAGGGGUUGUUUUUCCUGCCUUGCUAUUGAGCCGAAGAGGCACAGAAAGUUGUCAAGGAGAUGCUUUCUCUGGCAGCAGGAUGCACCUGGUGAACUUCUCUCUGCUCUGUGGGACAAUCCCAUUGGGAAAAGAAUUCCUGUCAAUAUCUGAGGAUGCUCUCAUGGGCUAAGCAAGAUAUUGCAGCUUGGGUGUUGAACUUGGACUCCUUGGGGGGUUUUAUUUUAUUUUGUUUGAGCAAUGCUGGUUUUCAGCUAGAUUUCUCCCUUCCAGCUGCAGUAGGAUCUGACUGUGGAUGUUGCUACAAUCAGUUUUGCUUCUUUGGUAAGCAGGAGCAUCCUUCAAGGUGAGGUGGGAGGUCAGAAGUGUCAGGACCAACAGCUCUUGUUUGUGGAUGUAACAGUGGGUCUAACUUCUCUCCCUGAGGUUAAAUAAUAGUGCCUGAGGACACCCAGGUCAGGAUAAAGAAGAAAUAGGUGCCUUGAAAGCCCAGGGAAAAAUCACCACUAGUCUUUUUACAAAUCUUGCAGGAGCACAAUCUGUGCUAUUAGUCUAUAAGAAUCCCACAAAAUAACUCUAUAUCAGUUAUAUUAAUAGUACUACAGUCCACCAUCAACAUGGGUGAAACACACACUGUGACAAACCAGAGUGUGAUGGAAUCAGUCACUUAAAACAUCCCUGAGCACAGUCCAGAGGAUUAGCACCUGGAGCAAGGAAGAGCAACUGGUGAUCAAGGAAAGCCAGCUCCCUGUUUAAGGAAAACGUCAGCUCCUGAGAAAUCCCUUACCUUUAAUUGUAUCUGAGAGUGUAAUUGCAUCUUCAGCCCAAACAGACCUAAAAUCAAUCUGGCUAAGGAGUGACACAAGGAAAAGGGAUUUUAAUGAGUGACACAAAGAAGGGGACUAAAAUGAUGCUUAUCUCUGGUCACUGAAUACGGGGAUCUCGUUCUACAUAAUGUACAUAUAAAUAAUAGAGCAGCCCCUGCAAGCAGAGCCCUCACCAGCUCACUCAGAUGCAUGGAGCUGUUGAGAAGAGCACCCUGCAUCUGUCCCUGGAAUUUCACUGGGCACAUUGCUAAGCUCUAAAGAAUAAUGCAGCUUUUGAAACAUAUUUAAAAAAAUCUACCAGCAAUUGUUACCAUUUUUCCUAAAAA
ensembl:lncRNA